UACGUAGGGGGCAAGCGUUGUCCGGAAUUAUUGGGCGUAAAGCGCGCGCAGGCGGUUUUCUUAAGUCUUGUGUUUAAUCCCGGGGCUCAACCUCGGUUCGCAUGGGAAACUGGGAAACUGGAGUGCAGGAGAGGAAAGUGGAAUUCCACGUGUAGCGGUGAAAUGCGUAGAGAUGUGGAGGAACACCAGUGGCGAAGGCGACUUUCUGGCCUGUAACUGACGCUGAGGCGCGAAAGCGUGGGGAGCAAACAGG
rnacentral:rRNA from 1 species